AAACUAGGUAGGGAAGGAAAAUGAAAUUAUAAAAUAUAGAUAAAAAGGUGUAAUUAGAACUGCAUGCAUACUGUGUGUUCUCUCAAUGAUGAAAGAUAUUGGUGAAAAUGAAAUAUAAGAAAAUAUUGCAUGAUAUGAAUAUGCUAAAGCUAAUAGAGCUUUUACAUUUCAUGAAGUCAACUAGAGGAGAUGAAAAUGAUUAAGCAUACCAUGUGUUCUCUCCUUGAUGAAUGAUGUUGGUGGUGCACAGAGAGAGAAAGAGAGGGAGAGAAAGAGCGCUUAAGUUUCCUUCCAUCCAUAUAGAAAAGCCAAAAUUUAGUUGACGAUAUCCAUAGAAGAUAGACUUUUGUUACUCUUUCUCCUUAAUAGUGAAACCAGCAGAACAGUCUCAUAUAGUCGUCUCAUAGUUGUCAAGGGCACCGCUCAAACUACUGGGGUCAUAGAAUGAGUAAUAGGAUAGGCUAGAGAACCAAAAUACUUGUAGGAUAAGGAAGAAAAAAUUGUGUGAUGGUAUUCAGUCUUAACACGUGUCUUUUUUGCUCGUUUUCAAGAUCUGUAGAUGUAGAGGGGGAAACGGUGGUAGUACUCAUCAAGGUUUACAUGGCUUUUUUUUUGUCACUUGUGUUUCAUUUUCUUUUUAUCCCAUCUUUACUUAUCAAUAUGGAAAGACCUAUUGUAAUAGACAAAUAAAAAGUGGAGACUUGUUCCCUUAUUAGGGCUAAUUACCAGUGAUUACAGAAAGUAGUAGUAGUUUUCUAGUGACCUUUGUAAGUUGAUAAUUUAAUGUUCAUGUUCAUUCACGAUGAUCUGUUGUAUGCAACUAAAGGGUUUUUUUUUUUUUUUUUGGGGGGGGGGGGGGNAAGUAUAUAGUAAGGUUACAACUUGUCUCGCGAUUACUUUGACCAUCAAGUUGACUUAUCAUAAGAUAACCUUGAGUUGCAGCCUAGUGAAACUACUUUUUGAUAUUUCUAAAUGGUAAUAUUCGAUAUUUCUAACUAAUACUCUAUUUUAUUUGAGACUAGCAGUUAAUAUUUAAGUUUAAUUGUAGUUAGUAACAUCAUGUCCAUGAUUAUGUUAAUUGUGUUACACAUAGACCAA
rnacentral:lncRNA from 1 species